UGUGUCGCCAGACGCAUUGCCCGGUAGCUAAGUUCGGGAUCGAUAACCGCUGAAAGCAUCUAAGCGGGAAGCGAGCCUUGAGAUGAGUUCUCCCUGAUACUUUAAGUAUCCUAAAGGGUUGUCGUAGACUACGACGUUGAUAGGCAGGGUGUGUAAGCGUUGUGAGGCGUUGAGCUAACCUGUACUAAUUGCCCGUGAGGCUUAACCAUACAACACCCAAGGGGUUU
rnacentral:rRNA from 1 species